UGCCCGCCCGUCCCUGUUUCAGCAUGUGGCCCUGGCGCAGUAGAUGUGUGCGCUGGCAGCACCUUUGUGGCUCAAGGCUGCUCGUGUGGGCUUGUUUUUUGGGAGGGUUUCCGCCGUUAAUCGGUGUUUUCUUCUUUGUAUGCCUCACACAAGGAGUCCCUCCUGCUCUGCUGUGCCCGCUCUGUCACCCGCUUCUGGCUGCCGAAGCUCAUUUUUGGGGUCUGAAGGGCGCUGCCCUGCCCACAUGGCUCCUGGCAUGAGAGCCAUCGCUGCCCGCACGCCCUUGUCCCCAAGGCUUCGGGACAGCAGAGCCGUCCAGAGGUAAGAUUUUGGUGGAGGAGGGCAAUAGGCAGCUGCAGAGACCCCAAAGGCUCCAAAAACGAGGAGGAGGCUGAAGGAGGAAGGCAGCUUCAUGGGAGGCGGUGGGCGAGCAUCAGUCAUGGGCGUGGAAUAUUUCUGGCUCUGGGAACUCAGAUAACGAUCUCUGCUGUUCUCUCGUGACAUUUUUUCCACUUCCCAGUAAGGGAAGUUCCACACGCUGCCUUGCCGCGUGUUCCUCCUUGUUCUGUGGAUGUCGCUGUGCCGAUGCACGUUUGACAUGCUUCCUUCCCUGUUCCCGGGCCUGUUGCUCCUAGGAAGGAUUGUGCAAGGCUGCACGCUGCGGACGUGGGCUGUGACUGCUGAGUUUUCACAGGGGCCUUCGGAGAAUUUGUCUCUGCUGAAACGUGCCAACCUUAGCGAGUGUAAAAGUGAACAUGGGAAAAUCCCGGGCCUUAUCAAAGCUGCCUGCUGGCAGCACAUUGCUGAGCAUGAAUUGUGAGACUCGACACAUCCUCUGGUACUUCUUGGUAGAAAUUGGUUUCCUUUCCUGAAGUCUGCUGCGCUUGCCUCUCUGAGAUGUGCAAGCCGUCACAUAGAUACUAACUUUCACUUCCCUGGUUCCUUUUUAAGCUUUGUAGGACUAAAUUUCCUUUGCCAGCAAAAAUUCUGGUUGUUUAGUCAGAGCUGACUAAAACUCCAUGCUUGUGUAACAGAAGUCCUGGCAGGGCUGUUGGUGUAAUUGCUGGGUAUCUUUCCACAGCCUCAGUCAUCAGCAAAAAUAUUCCUGCUUGAUGCGAUAGCCCCUGGGAGCACACGAUACGAGAUAGUGUUUUGGGAGGUACCUGCUUGAAUUCCUUGCAGAUUUGAGUGUCCUCCCUGCUUGGUUGCUGCCCCAUACUUGAAGCUGUCAGUGUGGCAGCAGGCACGUCAGAGCCAUGUGUUCAGAUUUCCUCCUGCCCUGCAGCGGGAACAGUCCCACGGCACAAAGCUCUGUGCUCUGUCCUGGGGGUCAGCUGCAGCCCAUCUCACAAUAUCCUGGAUGACACACUAUGUGGUUGUGUUUGCUCAUCUCCCAAGUCCAGCUUUUCCUCCUCCCCAAGCUGCCCCUGCUUACAGGGCCGUGUCCUCCUCCUGGAAGAGGAGAUCUCACCAAGGGGAGUCUCGCUUCGCGCCUCUUUUCUGCAGGAAUGGUUAAAGUGGACCUGGAAAGGAAAAGUUUGGGGGAAAAGCCCAAGAUUUCUUUCAGGUUAUUUGCAGGACUGUGCACACAGAUGUGGCUGUGACGGACAAUGGCGUGGUCCCAGGGCCGGGAAGGCAGGCUGGCUCCUGUCCACUGUCAGAGCAGGAACGCUCACCGGGAUCAGAACUUCCCUAGGAGGGAAAACAGGGUCCGGUGACACGCAGAGGGAUUUUGUAGUGGACGGAUGUGAGUUGAGGGGUAUAAAAGCCCGGAGGUGUAUUGUGCUUGUUGCAAGAGGAAGUUAACAGGAAAGUCAGCACUGUUUGUAGCCACAAUACAGGCAGCCGUCUUCGAAAGCAUUUUUGUGGUUGCUGCUUUACCUGGAAAGAGGUGUAGAGGGAUCACAGCGCACAAACGUGGGCCUCAUGCAAGGGGUUAGGGAGGAGAACACUGCUUCUGUCCACCUUGUGCUGCUGAGGCUGUCCCUGCCUGACAGGGGCCAGCCUUUGCACGUGCACCCCAUCCCAUCUGCUCUUGUUCCUUCCUGCCUGCUGCUGCCCACCUCGGUGGGGUGUCCAGAGCUGGAAACUGAUGAGAGCUGGGCUGCCCUGCUGCGCCAGGAGUGCCUCUUUGAUCAGCUACCCUGCGUGAUGAAACAAGGGCAAUAAGGAAGGGGAGUGAUCCAGCCCACAGCGCAGAGCCCUCCCUGACGUCCUCAACGGCCUUGGAUGCUGAGGUGAACCAGAGGUUUACUGAUAAAUCGCUGUCCUGAGCACAGGGGGGCAGUUACUACAGGAAGCUCCAUCCCAGCCUCCAGCCCGGUUCCUACCCCCACCUGGCUGUGUGCCGUCUUCAGAUUUUAUGUUUGCAAGCUCAGAGCAGUGCCCCUUGUCAGUUCAUAUGGAACCAGCUCCACAGCCAGCUCGGGACAGUGCUGCAAGGAGGGUCUCCUGCCAGCAGAGUCCCCACGCAGGUACAGUCCUAACACAACACAACAAGACCUCGUGGCCUCAGCUUACAACCCCCUAUCUUCCCAAAGGCAGCUGGGAAGGCUGCUUCACCCGAGAGAUGUCUUUGCUUUGAGGGUCGGCAUGUAAAGGUGGGACAGGGAGGCUACGAGGUCUCGUGGGGCAGCACAGGAGUGGUGGAGCGGGCUGAGAACCAGCUCUAGCAGAGUUUGGAUCCAUAACGGGCUGAUGGGGGCAUGGCACACGCGCUUUGUAGUCCGGGCAUUGCUUCCUCAUUAAGAAUAUAUUGUACUCUCCAUAAAAUAAUAAAAAAAUUUUAAAAAAGUGCAA